rnacentral:rRNA from 1 species
GACGAACGCUGGCGGCGUGCCUAAUACAUGCAAGUAGAACGCACAGGAUGCACCGUAGUUUACUACACCGUAUUCUGUGAGUUGCGAACGGGUGAGUAACGCGUAGGUAACCUGCCUGGUAGCGGGGGAUAACUAUUGGAAACGAUAGCUAAUACCGCAUAAGAACAUUUACUGCAUGGUAGAUGUUUAAAAGGUGCAAGAGCAUCACUACCAGAUGGACCUGCGUUGUAUUAGCUAGUUGGUGAGGUAACGGCUCACCAAGGCAACGAUACAUAGCCGACCUGAGAGGGUGAUCGGCCACACUGGGACUGAGACACGGCCCAGACUCCUACGGGAGGCAGCAGUAGGGAAUCUUCGGCAAUGGGGGGAAACCCCUGACCGAGCAAACGCCGCGUGAGUGAAGAAGGUUUUUCGGAUCGUAAAAGCUUCU